GUGUGGCUCGGUGGUAGAGCACUUGCCUGGCACGCAGCAGGCCAUAGGUUCAAACCCCAUCGC
rnacentral:tRNA from 1 species